UGGGGAAUAUUGGACAAUGGGCGAAAGCCUGAUCCAGCCAUGCCGCGUGUGUGAAGAAGGUCUUCGGUUUGUAAAGCACUUUAAGUUGGGAGGAAGGGCAGUAAGCGAAUACCUUGCUGUUUUGACGUUACCGACAGAAUAAGCACCGGCUAACUCUGUGCCAGCAGCCGCGGUAAUACAGAGGGUGCAAGCGUUAAUCGGAAUUACUGGGAGUAAAGCGCGCGUAGGUGGUUCGUUAAGUUGAAUGUGAAAGCCCCGGGCUCAAACAGGGAACUGCAUCCAAAACUGGCGAGCUAGAGUAGGGCAGAGGGUGGUGGAAUUUCCUGGGUAGCGGUGAAAUGCGUAGAUAUAGGAAGGAACACCAGUGGCGAAGGCGACCACCUGGGCUCAUACUGACACUGAGGUGCGAAAGCGUGGGGGGCAAACAGG
rnacentral:rRNA from 1 species